rnacentral:rRNA from 1 species
AUGUCGAGCUCAAUUUCAUCCGAGGAGCAGCGGAAGGCGAUGAUAGCUGAUACGGCCGUAAUUGACGAUGAUGCAGCCAGCGCGGUGCAGCAGAAGGAGGUGAUAAAGAAAAAGACGAAGAAGAAGACUUUUCGGCUGCCAGACGACGAGUUGGAGCUAAUCUUGGCUUUCAAGCCAUCCGUACAUUACCCUGAUCCCAUCUUCUCCCCGGUGCUAGAGGAGAAGCUGCCCGACACCGUUCGGGGAGUGCGGGCCACCAUGGCGAAGGCUGAUGCGCUGUUGGAAAAGAACCAUGAUUCAAUAAGCUCUGAGCAUGCGAGGAUUCAGGCGGAGUACCAGGCUAAAGGGUAUGCUACUUACCAAGCCGAGGUCACCGACGACGAGGAAGAAAUCAUUCAAGUUCCUAGACGUGGACGGAGAAGACACCGGCCUGGAGUAGUGAAGCGUAAAGGAGAGAUCAAGAAGAUAAAUUAA